CCUCUCCGAGUAGAAAUUUUUAGUUUAAAUUUGAGUUAAUACCGAUUACAGAAGUGUUAUAAAGUUAUAUUUAACUUUUAGUUAUAUAAUAUAUUAUUUUCUGUCGAGUUUAACGGAUAUUUUUCCUAGUUUUAUUAACGAAAGUGUUCGUUUGAUGUUUCCGCCUACGCGCCGAUGUAAAGCGCGGGCUCGCUAUGUUAAUAUGAGUUUUAUACAUUUAAAUCUAGUAAAUUUAUUUUACAAAUACAGUAUGACCUGUAUUGAAUGGGUAGAUUUCGGUUUUAUAUCAAAAUGUAUGUUUUAUAGUCAUAUUUUGUGACCCAGGUAAUUGAUCCAGUUAACGUUACUGUCAUUGUGGUGGACGACUUGAUUUAUUUCCUCUCAUAACGUUAUAUUUUCAGCCCGAAGACCCCUGAUCUGAGGAUGUGCCUGUUCUCCCCUGUUUAAAAAAACUGCAGAUGUGGCCUGUUGAAGAGCCUGGAAUCGGUAGGACAUUUGUGAUGUUGAAUGAAGACGAAUGGUAACCUCUCUGGAAGUAAUCUGCAUGCAGUCUUCUGAGUGAUCAUGGGUGGUGAGUUCUGGGCACACAUCACCAGAGCUCAUAAACACCAUUAAACUGAUGCAAGCUUCGGAUCUUCCAAUGUUUCUCUGUGGUGCUGAAACCUAUAGAUGGCUGACUUCCGCUCCCCCUGCAAUUGAUACUCCACUGCCAUUGGCUCACAAAACCAUUCCUGCAUUGAAUUUAAUGCAAUUUAAAUAAGAAUGGGUUUUAUGAAGUAUGCUCUCUGAUUAAAAUUGCUGGGCAGUAAAGUCAUUUGCAAAAACAGCUGAUAACACAAUCUGAUCAGACCAGGCCCAUUAAGUUAUCAUAUAUCAGAACCAUUUGCCUGAUAGUUUCCUUUUGUAAUUAUUCCAUUGAUGAAAAUGUCAAGUUUG